GUGUCAGCCGCCGCGGUAAGACGGAGGUUGCAAGCGUUGUUCGGAAUUACUGGGCGUAAAGGGGGCGCAGGCGGUUAGGUCAGUCUGGAGUGAAAACCUGGGGCUCAACCCUGGGAUUGCUUUGGAUACUGCCUAACUAGAGUUCGGAAGAGGAGAGUGGAGUUCCUGGUGUAGCGGUGAAAUGCGUAGAUAUCAGGAGGAACACCUGUGGCGAAAGCGACUCUCUGGUCCGAUACUGACGCUGAGGCCCGAAAGCGUGGGGAGCGAACAGGAUUAGAUACCCUGGUAGUCCACGCCGUAAACGUUGUGCACUAGGUGUGGGAGGAUAUCGACCCCUUCCGUGCCGCAGCUAACGCAUUAAGUGCACCGCCUGGGGAGUACGCCCGCAAGGGUGAAACUUAAAUGAAUUGACGGGG
rnacentral:rRNA from 1 species